rnacentral:rRNA from 1 species
CCUACGGGCGGCAGCAGUGAGGAAUAUUGGUCAAUGGCCGGAAGGCUGAACCAGCCAUGCCGCGUGAAGGUCAGUGCCCUAUGGGCGUUAAACUUCUUUUGUGCGGGAGCAAUACUGGUCACGUGUGGCCAGACGAGAGUACCGUACGAAUAAGCAUCGGCUAACUCCGUGCCAGCAGCCGCGGUAAUACGGGGGAUGCAAGCGUUAUCCGGAUUUAUUGGGUUUAAAGGGUGCGUAGGCUGUGAGGUAAGUCAGCGGUGAAAUGCCCCCGCUCAACGGGGUGAAGUGCCAUUGAUACUGCCUGGCUGGAAUGCGGAUGCCGUGGGAGGAAUGUGUGGUGUAGCGGUGAAAUGCAUAGAUAUCACACAGAACACCGAUUGCGAAGGCAUCUCACGAAGCCGCGAUUGACGCUGAUGCACGAAAGCGUGGGUAUCAAACAGGAUUAGAUACCCUUGUAGUC